GAUGAACGCUGGCGGCGUGCCUAAUACAUGCAAGUCGAGCGAACGGACGAGAAGCUUGCUUCUCUGAUGUUAGCGGCGGACGGGUGAGUAACACGUGGAUAACCUACCUAUAAGACUGGGAUAACUUCGGGAAACCGUAGCUAAUACCGGAUAAUAUUUUGAACCGCAUGGUUCAAAAGUGAAAGACGGUCUUGCUGUCACUUAUAGAUGGAUCCGCGCUGCAUUAGCUAGUUGGUAAGGUAACGGCUUACCAAGGCAACGAUGCAUAGCCGACCUGAGAGGGUGAUCGGCCACACUGGAACUGAGACACGGUCCAGACUCCUACGGGAGGCAGCAGUAGGGAAUCUUCCGCAAUGGGCGAAAGCCUGACGGAGCAACGCCGCGUGAUUGAUGAAGGUCUUCGGAUCGUAAAACUCUGUUAUUAGGGAAGAACAUAUGUGUAAGUAACUGUGCACAUCUUGACGGUACCUAAUCAGAAAGCCACGGCUAACUACGUG
rnacentral:rRNA from 1 species